GCGGGCGUGGCGGAACUGGCAGACGCGCCGGGUUUAGGUCCCGGUGGGGCAACUCGUGGAGGUUCGAGUCCUCUCGCCCGCACCA
rnacentral:tRNA from 3 species